rnacentral:rRNA from 1 species
CCUACGGGAGGCAGCAGUAAGGAAUAUUGCUCAAUGGGCGCAAGCCUGAAGCAGCGACGCCGCGUGGGCGAAGAAGGUCUUCGGAUCGUAAAGCCCUUUUUUAGGUGACGAGCAAGGACGGUAGCCUAAGAAGAAGUCUCGGCUAACUACGUGCCAGCAGCCGCGGUAAAACGUAGGAGACGAGCGUUAUCCGGAAUUACUGGGCGUAAAGCGCGUGUAGGCGGUGCAGCAAGUUCGUCGUGAAAGCGCCCGGCUAAACUGGGCGAGGUCGAGGGAUACUGCUGGACUGGAGAGCGGGAGAGGCAGGUGGAAUUCCGGGUGUAGUGGUGAAAUGCGUAGAGAUCCGGAGGAACACCAGUGGCGAAGGCGGCCUGCUGGCCCGCAACUGACGCUGAGACGCGAAAGCAUGGGGAGCGAACGGGAUUAGAUACCCCUGUAGU